rnacentral:rRNA from 1 species
UACGUAGGUGGCAAGCGUUGUCCGGAAUUAUUGGGCGUAAAGCGCGCGCAGGUGGUUUCUUAAGUCUGAUGUGAAAGCCCACGGCUCAACCGUGGAGGGUCAUUGGAAACUGGGGAACUUGAGUGCAGGAGAGAAGAGUGGAAUUCCACGUGUAGCGGUGAAAUGCGUAGAGAUGUGGAGGAACACCAGUGGCGAAGGCGGCGCUCUGGACCGAGACUGACGCUGAGGCGCGAAAGCGUGGGGAGCAAACAGG